rnacentral:rRNA from 1 species
UGGAUGAUGUGGAUUAAUUCGAUGCAACGCGAAGAACCUUACUACCCUUGACAUGUCCGGAACUUGCCAGAGAUGGCUUGGUGCCCGAAAGGGAAUCGGAACACAGGUGCUGCAUGGCUGUCGUCAGCUCGUGUCGUGAGAUGUUGGGUUAAGUCCCGCAACGAGCGCAACCCUUAUCAUUAGUUGCUACGCAAGGGCACUCUAAUGAGACUGCCGGUGACAAACCGGAGGAAGGUGGGGAUGACGUCAAGUCCUCAUGGCCCUUAUGGGUAGGGCUUCACGCAUGCUACAAUGGCCGGUACAAAGGGCUGCGAUACCGCGAGGUGGAGCGAAUCCCAGAAAGCCGGUCUCAGUUCGGAUUGGGGUCUGCAACUCGACCCCAUGAAGUCGGAGUCGCUAGUAAUCGCAGAUCAGCAACGCUGCGGUGAAUACGUUCCCGGGCCUU